rnacentral:rRNA from 1 species
UACACUCCUGCGGGAGGCAGCAGUGGGGAAUAUUGGACAAUGGGCGCAAGCCUGAUCCAGCCAUGCCGCGUGAGUGAUGAAGGCCCUAGGGUUGUAAAGCUCUUUCACCGGUGAAGAUAAUGACGGUAACCGGAGAAGAAGCCCCGGCUAACUUCGUGCCAGCAGCCGCGGUAAUACGAAGGGGGCUAGCGUUGUUCGGAUUUACUGGGCGUAAAGCGCACGUAGGCGGACUAUUAAGUCAGGGGUGAAAUCCCGGGGCUCAACCCCGGAACUGCCUUUGAUACUGGUAGUCUUGAGUUCGAGAGAGGUGAGUGGAAUUCCGAGUGUAGAGGUGAAAUUCGUAGAUAUUCGGAGGAACACCAGUGGCGAAGGCGGCUCACUGGCUCGAUACUGACGCUGAGGUGCGAAAGCGUGGGGAGCAAACAGGAUUAGAUACCCCGGUAGUCC